ensembl:lncRNA
CAAGCGCGAAAGCCAGUGGCUGCUCCCGCUGCGUGCUCGGCACGUCUGAGCUUCUCAGUGCUUCUUAGUGCAGCUUGUAUAUUCCAGCUAGCAAACAGAUGCAUGUAAUAGGAGAGAAGGGUCCAAAAAUAGUCUGACAAAUUUCUGAAAGUAGUGUUGGGGCACUGGAACAGAAUCCUCACUGCAGUGGUCGUGGCAUGAAGCCUGCUGGAGUUCAAGAAGCAUUUAGACAAAUGUUUCAGAAAUAUGGCUUGAAUUUUGGAUGGUCCUAAAAUCUAGCUGAACUAGAUCAUUGGAUCUUUCUGGGUCCCUUCCAACACAAGAUAUUCUAUGGUUCUAUGAUUUUUCCCAUUGUAUGAAUAAUUACACUUGAGUACAGCAGAGUUAAGUAACUCUUUGGAAAAUAAUCUGUUAUAGGUCAGUACUGAAUUCUGAGAAA